AUAAGCGGAGGAAAAGAAACUAACAAGGAUUCCCCUAGUAACUGCGAGUGAAGCGGGAAAAGCUCAAAUUUGAAAUCUGACAGUCUUUGGCUGUCCGAGUUGUAAUCUAGAGAAGUGUUACCCGCGCUGGACCGUGUACAAGUCUCCUGGAAUGGAGCGUCAUAGAGGGUGAGAAUCCCGUCUCUGACACGGACUACCAGGGCUUUGUGGUAUGCUCUCAAAGAGUCGAGUUGUUUGGGAAUGCAGCUCAAAAUGGGUGGUAAAUUCCAUCUAAAGCUAAAUAUUGGCGAGAGACCGAUAGCGAACAAGUACCGUGAGGGAAAGAUGAAAAGAACUUUGGAAAGAGAGUUAAACAGUACGUGAAAUUGCUGAAAGGGAAACGCUUGAAGUCAGUCACAUUGGCCAGGGAUCAGCUUUGCUUUUGCAUGGUGUACUUUCUGGUUGAUGGGUCAGCAUCAAUUUUGACUGCUGGAAAAAGGCUUGGGGAAUGUGGCAGCUCUGGCUGUGUUAUAGACCCUUGUCAUAUACAGCAGUUGGGAUUGAGGAACUCAGCAUGCCGCAAGGCCGGGUUUCGACCACGUUCAUGCUUAGGAUGCUGGCAUAAUGGCUUUAAGCGACCCGUCUUGAAACACGGACCAAGGAGUCUAACAUGCCUGCGAGUGUUUGGGUGGAAAACCCAAGCGCGUAAUGAAAGUGAAAGUUGAGAUCCCUGUCGUGGGGAGCAUCGACGCCCGGACCAGAACUUUUGGGACGGAUCUGCGGUAGAGCAUGUAUGUUGGGACCCGAAAGAUGGUGAACUAUGCCUGAAUAGGGUGAAGCCAGAGGAAACUCUGGUGGAGGCUCGUAGCGAUUCUGACGUGCAAAUCGAUCGUCAAAUUUGGGUAUAGGGGCGAAAGACUAAUCGAACCAUCUAGUAGCUGGUUCCUGC
rnacentral:rRNA from 1 species